rnacentral:rRNA from 1 species
UACAGAGGGUGCGAGCGUUGUCCGGAAUCACUGGGCGUAAAGGGCGCGUAGGUGGUGGCUUAAGCGUGCGGUGAAAGCUCGGGGCUCAACUCCGAGUCGGCCGUGCGAACUGGGCUCACUGGAGCAUAGUAGAGGCAGGUGGAAUUCCGGGUGUAGCGGUGGAGUGCGUAGAUAUCUGGAGGAACACCGGUGGCGAAGGCGGCGUCCUGGACCAACACUGACACUGAAAAGCGAAAGCCAGGGGAGCAAACGGG